CCUGUUCAUUGUCCAUUUAUCUCUUGUCAUAGUUUUUCAUGAAUCCUGUUCCGACCAUGUUCAAGUCAGUUUUUAUGUUUUAGUUUUUCCCCGUUUAGGUUUCAGUUUAGUUUUUUUCCAGUUUGCAUUGCUUUGUUUUUGUUUCGACAUCAGCCCAGAUAUAAACGGCUCGCUUUUUGUUAUACCGCAAUUUUUUUUUGUGUCCGCAUUUUUGGUCCACACCUCAAACACACCGGCCCACCCCCCCGUGACAGUUUUUAAGACUACAUGAAUGACUGACAACUUACAAGAGCUGACUGAUGAUCGGUGCUUUCAAGUUGGUGUUAAAUGACCUAUUCUCUCUUCAAGAACUGAUGAACCCAUUCAUUUAUAUGUAAAGGGCAGAGCAGGAGCCCCAUGUUCAUUCAGACGCUUGUAUUUGGAUGAAGAGAGUUGCAGAACACCCAAGGGCUGUGAACUCUAUUGCACAAAAUACUUUGUGUCUACUUGUUUGCACAGAACAGCGAAGCAAAAUUGAACCUUAGCUAUCAGCAUCAUCCACUAAUGCAGGAGUUAUAUUGUUCCUUUAAAAAUAAAGUAAAACACAGUACUAGUUUUAUAAAAGAUACAAGAUAAACAAAAAAGCCCUCAUGGGGAAGCUGUCUGGACAACCUGGCAUUAUCUUUGACUUUUAAAACCAAUAAUCUGCUGCACAAUCUGUCACAUUAGACGGUAUCACUUCUUUGUUUCCAUGUAGCUGUCUAGGUGCUUUACUUCUGUGUCACACAUUUCCAGGAGCUUUGGAUUUCAAGUAAUUUCUACCAGGCAGCAUGGUCAUAAAUCUAAGCUUCUGACAUGUUCAUAAUGUAAGUUUGUGACGAUAUCGUGUCUCAGGAUGUAUUGAUUUAAUUGUGUGGUUAUUUUUCAUACUGUGUGCGUGCGUUUGUGUAUGUGUGUGUGUGUGUUUGUAAAAAAAUUUUGUCACUGCCCUACAAAGUGCACUCUGCAAAUUGUGUUUCCAUGAUAUAUGAAGCUGCUCCUUUUGUUAUAUUGAGGGCAUUGUGUUUUUGUUACUGAUGCAACUUUGAAAUUAGAUUUGCCACUACUAAUUUGGCUUUGAAACCUGUAUAUUACAUUGAAUGAUUUAUCAUAUCUUGACAUUACCUUCAAAAUAUAAUUAAUUUU